CCUACGGGAGGCAGCAGUGAGGAAUAUUGGUCAAUGGCCGGAAGGCUGAACCAGCCAAGCCGCGUGAAGGACGAAGGUGCCAAGCAUUGUAAACUUCUUUUGUCAAGGGACAAAAUCAGGCUCGAGAGCCUGACCGAGGGUACUUGAAGAAAAAGCAUCGGCUAACUCCGUGCCAGCAGCCGCGGUAAUACGGAGGAUUCAAGCGUUAUCCGGAUUUAUUGGGUUUAAAGGGUGCGUAGGCGGUCGGAUAAGUUAGAGGUGAAAUCCCGAGGCUCAACUUCGGAAUUGCCUCUGAUACUGUUCGGCUAGAGAGUAGUUGCGGUAGGCGGAAUGUAUGGUGUAGCGGUGAAAUGCUUAGAGAUCAUACAGAACACCGAUUGCGAAGGCAGCUUACCAAGCUACUUCUGACGUUGAGGCACGAAAGCGUGGGGAGCAAACAGGAUUAGAUACCCCAGUAGUC
rnacentral:rRNA from 1 species